UACGUAGGGUGCGAGCGUUAAUCGGAAUUACUGGGCGUAAAGCGUGCGCAGGCGGUUCGUUGUGUCGGCGGUGAAAGCCCCGGGCUUAACCUGGGAACUGCAUUUGAUACUACUGAGCUUGAGUACGGGAGAGGAUAGUGGAAUUCCCAGUGUAGAGGUGAAAUUCGUAGAUAUUGGGAAGAACACCGGUGGCGAAGGCGGCUAUCUGGACCGUAACUGACGCUGAGGCGCGAAAGCGUGGGGAGCGAACAGG
rnacentral:rRNA from 1 species